AUUAUAAUAAUAUACACUAGAUAAUUGUAAUACUUCUUGUACAAACUUAAGAUGUAAAUGCUUUGUUAGUUUUUAGCGCAAUUUUAAGGCAUGGUAAUUUUAGUUUCUCACGCACAUGCACCCUUAGGAAGCCUUUAGGAUUUUAUUGUCGGAAUGUUUAACUCAAGUCUUUUUAGUGUUUCGGGUUUCGCCGACGUAACAUGUGGUGUAUUAUUAGUCCAUUGAAUUAUUUUAACUGUGUAGGUAUUAAGAAACACCAACCGUUGUAAUGUCUAUCUAUUGUUAUACUUUCACUUUGUAUUAUGUUUGCGUCAACCUUUGCCAUGUGUUUCAUGCUAUUUUUUGUGUGUAUCUUCGCGCAGCGCAGCAACACAGCGCGUUGCAUGGCACGUCACGCAUCAGCUGUUAACUUUUUGAUCCGCCAUUUUGGUAAUUAGGGCUUUAAACAAGGGUCCGACGCUGUUUAACUUGACAGUUAUUUAAGCAGUCACUAAGACGUUGGUUAACACUAAUUAUCGUUUUUAAGUUAAGAUAUUAUUUAAUAGACCGUUAAACUGUGUCUUAAUUUUAAUAAACGUUUAUAAGUAA